AAAAAAAAAAGAAACUCACAAGAACAUCUUGAAGUUUUGAUGAUUGAUAAAUCUUUAUGUUAGACAUUUAAUUUUUUAUAUUUCUUUUGACCGGUCCGAUUUUCUAAACCUUGCUUCUCACAAAAGUAUAUGUAUUACCACAUUGUUAUAAAAUUAUUUAAUUCGGUGACUUAUAUUAUGUGCAUACGUUAAUUAUUUAUUUAUUUUUUUACUUUUUUACAGCACACAAAUUUUUAUUAAAAAUAUAAAAAUUUAUUAAUAUAAUAUAUAAAUUUUUGUACAUAACACACAAAUUUUUAUUACAAAUAUAUUUUAUUAGUAUACAAAUUUUUUAGUCAAUGUUCUAUGUUAUAGAGCUCAAUUAAUAUUUUGACACUUAUUUUAUACUAAUUUAUUUUAAUGAAUUUGUACUCCAUUGGAUAGUUUAACCUUUCUCUAAAUCAUACAUUUUUAUUCUUUUUUCACUAUUCCAUAAUAGUACAUAGUACUCAAUUCUUUAUCUACUUUAUUAUUCACAUCAUUAUUUCUUUGUUUUUAUAUUUGGUUAUAUGUGUCACUUAAUUCGUACAUUCUACUUGAUUUCUUUUGUGUACAAUAUCAUUAUUUAUAAUUCCAAUCAUCUAUCUUGAAUUUCUUUCAACCAAUCAUCUUAAUUGUACACCAUAAUUAUCUUUAUAUUCUUCCUCAUUAUUAUUGAUUUUUUUGUGAAAGUCAUGAUGGUUGUUCACAUUAUAAAUAUUGCCUUCUUUCAAUUUGUUUUUUUUUUGUUUUUGUGACUCUUCUUUCAAUUUGUUUUACCAUACUAAAACAAUUUUUUCAGCACCAUCAUCAAAUUAGCUUGAUUAUAUUUUUUUUAUUAUCUUUUUUUUUAAACAAUAGUUUCAUCUUUUAACUUGCUAAAGAAUAUUAAAACUGUCAACAAAAAUCAAAAUUACAGAUAAAAGUCAAAAUUUUAAAAUUAUAGUCAAUCUCACCAAACAAUCCAAUUUAUUAUAGAACACUCAUACAUAUGUUAUUAACAUAAAAACAUUUUCUUAAUAAAUAAUUUUCAUUAAAUUUACCAUACCCGUGACGGGACAAUUCGCUAGUAUGAUAUAAAUCAGGUUCGGAAUAAAUCUAGCUCCUUGUUUUUAGAAAUGUUUUUAUUAGGCAAUCGAUAAAUACUAUUUAUAACAAGCAUUGAUUGAAUUUAGAGACAUACUCUAAUCAGUACUAAGCUCACCCUUUUUUUUUUGUUUUUUGCUUUUUGUUUUUUGUUUAACGUCCUAAAGGGACUAUCUCAAUCAGAAAGCUGGAAGAGUAGAUAAUGCAUACUUCUUUGGCGAUUGCAAGGCCCUAUUAAUAUAAUGAGGUGCAUGUCCCUUUUAAUUUUUGUAGCUUGAGGAGGGGAACUUAUAUACAGGAAUGUAUGAUGCUGAUUUAUCGUAUAAACAUCGAUUCACCCAAUACCUAAGUUGUUAGGGGAUACCUGUAUAUUCCCUCUGAUCAAAAUCUCAUGUUGGCUUCUGGUCAUGGAAAGAGAGAGGGAGGAUGGAGGUAAAUGUGCUUUAAUCUCAACUUUAAUUUAAAUAUAUUAAUAAAAUAUCAACUUAAUUAGCAAAUAGUCAUAUCAUAGUAUCGCUCAUUAUAUGGGGGCAUGGUGCUAGGGUGGAAAAAAACGUAACACAUGUACAUUUUUACUAAUAAUAACGCAUUUUUAUUAUAGAAUGAUAGAUGUGACCAAUAAAACAUAGAAUCUAUGUAUACACUUGAUUCAUUAAAUAGUUUGUGUGUAAUUUUAUUUACUGUAUGAUUUUUCAUGUGUAUAUUUAUCUUUUUUUCUUGAAAAUUUAAUGGGUUCUCAAAUUUAUACAAUUAUAUAUAUUAAAGUAUAUUUAUCAAAAUGUUUUAAAUUUUAAAAAAUUAAUACUAUUGAAAGAUAUCAGGCUUCUGAGCAGUGAAGCAGAAAAAAAGAGAAGGGAUAGAGAAAAAGGGAAGAGAUGAGUUGAGGUUGAGAGAGAAUCUUGAGAGUAAUUCUGGUAUUGAUUGAAUUCCAUCAUCUGGGAUUAGUUACACUGAACGAUAUAUAUAGACUUUAAGCUAACUAACUGAACGCUAAGUUGCUAACUAAUCUGAAGUCUAGUUUGGCUAAAUGCUUAACUGAAUCCUAACAGAAUUCUGAGUUCCCUGAGUGAAAGCUAACCAGAGUUCUAACUUCCUUUCUUAACUAGAGUUAAUCAUUACUCUAUCAUGCUCCCUGCUUUCAAGUUCUUCUGAUUCUUCUGCCAGUUUUAAGUCUAUUCUGCAAGUUAAUUCUGCUGCAUGACUUCCAUCUUCUAACUCUUCUAACUUCUUUCUUGUCUCCUCACUGUUGGGCUCAUUUUCUACCACAUUUAGCAACAUUCUAAACUUUAAAAAUAGAGUGCUUGGCAGUGCUUUUGUCAACACAUCUGCUAUCUAUACUGAGUCAGGAAUAUGGUUGAUGGUGACUAUCUUCUUUGUCACAUAGUUCCUGACAAAGUGAAUGUCAGUUUUAAAAUGUUUUUAUUUGGAGUGUAGAAUGGGGUUUGCUGCCAACAAGACUGCACUAAGAUUGUCACAUCAAUACAUCAAAGGAGUGGCUGGAAUGACAAAUUUCAACUCAAUCAUCAAGUUCUUGACCCAUAUCAAUUCAGCUACCAGGUCUGCUAAGCCUCUAUAUUCAGCCUCAAUGUUGGAUCUUGCCACAACAAUUUGUUUCUUUGCACUCCAACAAAUGAUAUUUUUCUCUAAGAACACACAAAAACUCCUGUAGAUUUCUAUCAUCUGGGUUACCACCCUAAUCUGAAUUACUAUAUACAGUGAUUUUCAUGGAGCUAUUCUUAUGCAGGUGUAACCCAUAGUUACAGGUUCCACUAACAUACCUUAAAAUUCUUUUCACCAGCUUCCAAUGUUCAAGUAGAGGGUUUUAAAGGAACUGUGAGACUUUGCUUACACCAUAGGCCAAUUUAGGUCUUGUAAUAGUUAAGUAUUGUAGGUUUCCUACUACUAACCGAUACGAUUUGGGAUUUUCAAAGCUGCCUCCCCCGAAUGCAGAGAACCUGACUAAUAAGGGAAGGGGAGUUUGACAAGGCUUACAUCCAACCAUUCCAACCUUGAUGAGUAAGUCCUUGACAUAUUUUUUUUGACUGAGUAGCAAUCUAUCCUUGUUAAUUUUUGAGACUUGAAUCUCCAAGAAAUAGUGCAAGUCACCCAAGUCUUUGAGUGCAAAUUUGCUGUUUAGUUGGUGAAUCACCUGAUUGAUUUAUGUGUUUGAGCUUCUUGUGAUGAUUAUAUCAUCCACAUACACCAAAACAAAAAUGUUGGCCCGUUUUGUGAACCUUGAGAAGACCAAAAUAUAUGAUUUGGUAGUAGUGAACCCUAAGUGAUUGAGCGCAGUGGAGAGCUUGUGAUACCAAGCCCUAGAUGCUUGCUUCAACCCAUACAAUGUUUUGUAAGUUUGCAGACUAAGCUUUCAUCUCCAACUUCAUAGCCCUGAGGUUGCUUCAUGUACACAUCUUCACUCAAGUCACCAUGAAGAAGUGUGUUGUUAACAUCUAAUUGGCGAAUGCUCCAUCCAUUCGCAAGUGCUGCUGUCAGGAUCACUCUUAUUGAAGUUGGUUGGACUACUGGGCUGUAUGUUUCGGUAAAAUCAAAUUUAGGUCUCUACAAGAAUCCCUGUGCUACUAACCUGGCCUUGUGUUUCUGUAAGGAGCCAUCAACAUUAUACUUGACUCUAAACACCCACUUGCUUCCAAUGACCUCUCUCCCUUGUGGCAAUGGUACCAGCUUCUAGGUUAGAUUCCUCAUUAGAGCUUCAUAUUCGUUGUCCAUGGCCUUCUUCCAUUCAGGAUAAGCCAGUGCCUCUCUGACAUUUCUUGGUUCAACUAUGGUUUGUAGUGCUCUUGGUUUGAAGAUUCCGUGUUUACUUCUUGUGAUCAUUGGAUGCAUGUUGGUGGUGCUUGGCUGAGCUGGAGCUGUAUCUGAUAUUGCAGAUAUCUCAAUUUCUAGACCAGAGAUAGGUAUUGGAAUUGGAAUGCAGGAUGGAGCUGCAGGUAUUGGUGAUGUAGGUACUGGUAGAAUGUCUAGUGAAGUAGUUUGUUGUGACAUUGGUGACAAAUAUUGAUGGUGAGGUUGCUGAGUGCUAGGUUGUGGUGUAGGUGAUGAUAUUUGGCUAGGUAAGGUUGAGAGAUUUAAGCAUUGUGUGGGGGAGUUAGGCUAUAAGGCUGAAUUGUUAGAAGAUGUAGUUGGGUUUAGAUUGGUACCUGAUGAAGGUUGGUGCUCUUAGGAUAAGACUCUUGGUAGAAGAGGUAUUCUUGGUGGAACAUGGUUGUUGGUUUCUGAGUGAUCUUUUUCUGAUAGAGUGAUAAAGGAUUUUUCUUCUUUGAACAGGAAUCUAUUUUCAUAAAAAAUUCAAUCUCUAGUUAGCACUAUUUUACCACUUUGAGUAAGGCAUUUCUACCCUUUAUGAGCUGAACUAUAGCCAAUGAAUACGGAAGGGGCAGAACGAAAGUCUAGUUUAUGCUUAUUGUAGGGUCUUAGAUGAGGGAAACAGAGGCAACCAAAGACUUUUAGGCUAUCAUAAUUUGGCCUCUUUCCGAAAAGCUUCUCCAUGGGUGAACAAUUCCCAAAAGUUGGUGUAGGGAGUUGGUUGAUCAAGUUUAAUGCUGAUGCAAAAGCUUCUGCCCAGUACUUAGUAGACAUACCAGCUCCAGCAAGCAUUGCAAGUCCCUUUUCUACUACAUGUCUGUUCUUUCUCUCUACUGUGCCGUUUUGUUGAUACACACAAGGGCAGGAAAAAUCUGUGUACGACUCCCUGUGCCUGCAAUUCUUUGGACAAACUAGUGUAUUCAGCAACAUUAUCACUUUGUAGCAUUUUCAGUUUUAUAUCUAGUUGCAGCUCAACCAUAUGUUGGAAAGAAUUAAAUACUAAUUUAAGCUGAGAUCUUGCUUUAUAGCCAGGUAAAUUUUGAAUACGCAUCAAUAAACAAAACAAAGUAGUAAUUCCAUUAGUGUCAGGGGUGGGGGCAGGACCCCAAAUAUCAUAAUACACUAAUUGCAAUGGUGCUGUGUAUGAAAAAUCAGAUACAGAAAAAGGUAGCUAGUGUGACUUUCCUAUACAAUAUGCUUCAUAAGAUGACUUAUUUGAAUCAAGAUGAAUAUUACAAGACUUUAGAAUAGUUGACACUACACUAUUGGAGGCAUGGCCCCCACCCUAUUGUGCUAGAGCAAGAAGUUGUCCUUGCUGCACAUUGUUGAAGCAUAUGCAGACUUGAUGGAAGGUUUAAAAUUAAGGAAUUUGUACAUUCCAUUUUCAACUUCUCCCUGGAUAACUACUUCACUGGUUCCCUGGGUUUUGACACAGCAUUUAUUAGAGUGAAACUCAAAGAACAUAGCAUUGUCACAACAGAAUUGAUAGACACUCAACAAGUUUUUAGUGAUAUCGGGUACAUAAAGCAGUUUUUGUAGAAUAACUCUCUAUUACUUAAAUCAGAUUUCAAGAUAGAUUUUUCAACAAGGUUAAUUUACAAAUCUGAAUCGUUUCCUACAAUUACUUGAUCUGAUCCUUCAUAGGCUUCUCCUUCCAUCAGAUUAUGUUGGUCUGGUGUUAUAUGAUAGGUUGCUUCUGAAUCCAGGUACCAAUUUGGGUCAUGGAUGGUGGAUGGAGUUGCAAGCAGUGCCUGAGGUGGCUGAAGGGAUUGACUUGCUUGUGCGUUUUGUGAAAUUUGCAUCAUACUAGAUCUUGAACUAGCUCCAUAGUUGCUGUCCCUUUCGUACCUAUAUCAGCAGUUCUUGGCACACAGAUUUUUCGUUGUUCACCAUUCUUCCAUUAUUUGUCUCAUUAAUUUGCACAAAUCUUGGAUUUUCAUUGUAGUCCCUCUGUAUGAAUAUUGAGUUGUCAUUGUAUUGUGUAGCUAAUUUUGGUGCAUUGGUGUAGUAAUGGCUUGAUUUUGAGCAGUUUUGAAAAUUGCCAUUCUGAAAGUUGCCAUUCUGAAAAUUACUGUUCUGAAAAUUUUCAUUUGCAUAUCCUCCAUGUGACCUUCCAUAUUGUUCAUUAUUUUGAAAUAGUUCAGAGUCGAACCUGCUAUUGUCAUUAUAAGAGAAUCUUCCUCCUCUGCCUGAUCUUCCACCUCAAUUUCGGAAGUCUCCACCUCUGAAUCCUCCUCUAAAUCCUCCUCGCGUAUGAGCAAGAUUAGCUUGGAUGAACGAUUCUGGUUUCCUGAAUCUUUCAAGCAUGCUUUCGUGUGUCAAGAGUAGAACUUCAAAUUCUCCAACUGUAAUGCUUACCGGUCUUGCAACUACUGAUGUGAUUACAGAUCUAUACUCUUCUGUUAGCCCGUUCAGAAUUGCGUUCACGUGAUCACUCUCUCUCAUUGGUUCUCCAACAGAUGCCAACGCAUCUAUGGUUCCUUUCAACACAAGUACAUAUUCGUUUAUUGAAUUUCCAAUCUUGAUAGUGCUUAAUUUGUGUUUCAAUUGUAUGAUCUUUGCUCUAAUUUGAGAAGUGAAAUGAUCAUCCAAGCAUUUUCAUACCUCAUAUGCGUAUACACAUCCUACCAUUCUAAUGGUGAAUGGCUUUGUCAUCGAGGCCAGAAGCCACGAUUUCAGCAAAGCGUCCUAUCGCUUCCAUAUUGCAAAUUCUGGAUUCACUUCACCAUUUUCUUUGAAUCUUACUGGUAUUCUUUCUCUGAUUAUGUGAUGUAGCAAGUUGUGCCCUUCAAUUGUAGAUUCAGCCUGGUCUUUCCAUUGUAGAAAAUUAUCCUCAUCGAGCUUCAUUGAGAUUGGAGAUGUUGUGAAAUUUGGUCGCUGCAAGUUCUGAUACCAUGAAAGAUAUUAGGCCUCUGAGCAGUGAAGCAGAGAAAGAAGAUAAGGGAGAGAGAAAAGGGAAGAGAAGAGUUGAGGUUGAGAGAGAAUGUUGAGAGUAAUUCUGGUAUUGAUAAUUGAAUUGUGUCAACUGGGAUUAGUUACACUGAAUUAUAUAUAUAGACUUUAAGCUAACUAACUGAAUGCUAAGUUGCUAACUAAUUUGAAGUCUAACUUGACUAACUACUUAACUGAAUCCUAACAGAAUUCUAAGUUUCCUGAGUGAAAGCUAACCAGAGUUCUAAAUUCCUUUCUUAACCAGAGUUAAUCAUUACUCUAUCAAUUAUGUUAUGGUAUUAGAGUUUUUAUAAUAAAAAAGUGUAGAUUUUGAUUCUUGUUAUUUUCCUGUAAACAAGGUUCAAGAAUAGCUAGAUCAAGUCUCAAAACCUUGCUGAGAAAGAAGACUUGAGUCUCAAGAAAGAGAAAAAGAAUUUGAAAGAGAAAUAGAAUUGUGAAUGAAUUGAAUUCUAUUAAAAACAGAACGUGAUUUUCUUGUUCUUUGCAUGCAGAGACCAUAGCUCUAUACAUAUGAGGAUUACAUAAGAGUGAGGGAUCAUGUACAUGUAUGCAUACACUACGUGACUUCACCAACUUGAUUGUUCUCUACACUCCCCCUUCAAACUGAGGGUUAUUUGGGGUAACACUUUCAGUUUGAUGUACAUGUAUGCAUACACUACGUGACUUCACCAACUUGAUUGUUCUCUACACUCCCCCUUCAAACUGAGGGUUAUUUGGGGUAACACUUUCAGUUUGACCAUAAAUUGCACAAACAUGAAUUUAGCCAUUUAGGGAGGGCUUUGGUCAAAAUGUUAGCGAUAUGAGAGUGAGAUGAUAUAUGACCCACAUGAAGAAGUCCUUUGACAACGCGAUCACGAACAAAAUGAAGGUCAAUUUCGAAGUGUUUGCUUCCAUUAUAAAGAACCGGAUCGGCAGCCAGUGACGCAACUCCAAGGUUGUCAAAAAAAAAUGGUUGGGACAAGGGAACAUGAACACGAAGUUCAGAGAGAAAUUUCUGGAUCCAUGUGAUUUCUGCAACAACUUUAGCUAAGCAGCGAUACCCAGUUUCAGUGGAGGACCUCCAUGUAAAGCACCAGAAGGUAAAAAAUUAAAUUUAAGAUGGAAGAAAUAUAGUAAGGAGUUUCCAAGUCUUUCAGAGAGAAAUCUGAGUUUAGUUGGACAAUUAAUUUUUCUAAUUCAUCAUUGUUAUCACCUGUUAGGAUAAUAUCAUCAAAAUAAGCAAGUAAAUAGAUGUUAGAAUUAGAUGUAAAAUGAGUAAAAAGAGAAGUGUCAACACGAGUGUUAGUAAAAUCAAGGUUAAAGUGAGUGGUACUUAGUUUUGUGAACCAGGUUUUAGGAGCCUUUUUCAAGCCGUAUAAGGUUUUAUUCAAUUUACACACCAUAUCAGAUUUGGAAUAAAGGCUAGGAGGAAGUUCGUUGCAUAUAUACAUCUUCACAAAGUUCAUUAAAAAAGCAUUUAUAAAGUCGAAUUGGCAAAGAUAACCUUUUGGACAGAGCCAACGAUAGAACAAUUCGGAUAGUAGUGGAUCUUAGUCUUUAUUGAAAACAGAAUGUGGUUUCCCUGUUCUUUGCAUUCAAAGAUUAUAGCUCUGUAUAUAUGAGAAUUACAUAAGAGUGAGGGAUCAUGUAGAUGCAUGCAUACUCUACGUGACUUCAUCACUAACUUGAUUACUCUUUAAACCUCCUGAAAAAAAAAAGAGCAUAAAAUAAAUAAAUAAAUAAAAAGUUUAUGCGAAAUUUACGUAAAUUCAAAAAUUUUUUUGAAAAAAUAUGUUAGAGAUAUAACUAUUUAUGUAACUUUUCUAUUCGUUUAAAUUUUUAGAAAGAAUGAUAUUAUGAUAAAUUUUGAAUUUUAAAUGUAAACUAAAGAAAAAAAAGACAUAUAAACUAAUUUUUAAUGGCACAUAUAUGUAUGAAACUUAUUUUUCUUUUUAAAUGAAAAGAGACUAUACUCAAUACAAUGUUUUAAAAAAAUAAAAAAAAUAGAAUUUAACUAAAAUAUGAACUGAUAUAAAGACCACAUUGUUAAAAAGAAUGAAAAUAUAAAAAAUACAAAUUAUUAUAUGCUGAUUGGAGUGUAAACACCUUGGUCACUUUGGUCCAUUCCUCUAUCUUUUGGGUGUUCCCUCUUAAUUAUGAACAAUCAAAUUGUCCGUAGAAAAAACCCAACGCCAACCAUAUCUUCUGAAUGUUGAUGUUAUCCGUUAAAUUUCAAUGUCAUUAUUAAAGCAUAUGUAGUGAAUCCCUAUACGACAUGACAUGCAUUGAAACCUAGCCAACGAUGUUUGUAAACUUGAAGCUAAGCUGCGUUCAUUGGAGAAAAAGUUAAUUAGCCGACUCAUCAAUAAAUUAAUGCAACCAUGGUUUUAAUGAAUUCGUUGCAUGGUAACUAAAUUGGCAGCGUAUUCCGUUGUGUUUUACAGACUUCAACCUCCUCCACCAAAAAAUAAUUAUAAUAAAAUCAAUAUAUACAUAAAAGUCAAAGUCAAAACCCUAAAAUCCAUCAAAAACAAAUUUUCUGAGUUAUCUCCCACAACUUUUUAGUAAAUUAGUUUAUACACUUUUUAUUCAAAAGAUUUUGUAAAUAGCUUUCUCAAGAAGUUCCCAUCAUAGGUAGAUAUCACCAUCAACCAACUCCAUCUCUCAAAUAUCUUCCUUUUUGUCUCAUUUCUUUUUUAAAUUCACGACGGUUUAACAUUGACACUUUAAUAAAUUGACGGAAAAGGAGAAAAAAAAAAAACUAUUCAAAAAGGAGGGGAAAAAGUUAAAAUGGAUAAUAAAUGAACGUAUAUGGCAAGUACAAAAAAAUAUAAUGAAAAAUGUAGGAGGCGAGAAAGCCCUUCAUCACAUCAUCGUGUUAAUGAAAUUGGACCCACCAGUUAGUUGUGCAUGAUUGAAUAGUAGUUAUUAAUUUUUAACCAAAAGUUAGAUGAAAUAAAUUUUGGCACAAAUGAUAUUGAACAUAAUUAAUAGCAUUUUAAUGAUUGACUUGAGAAAAAGUAUAUCUUAUAUCAAAAUACGGUAAUAAUAUUAAUGAGACAAAAAAUUAAAUAAAUUUAAAUAUUUUUUUGUUAAUUUUUUUGGUUAUCAAAUAUUUUUUAUCAAACUAUAAGUAAUGUAAUUAUUUAGUUUAAAAUUUCAUUGGUGUUAUUUUUGUUUAUUUAUAAAGUGAUACUGAAGUAAUUUUAUACAAGUGUGAUGUUAUAUUUAAUAAUGUUUUAUUCGCAUACUCUUUUAUUAUAUUGAAAGCGUAUUUUAAACAAGUCUGAAAUUACGUUAAAGAUUAUCUUCAUAAAAUUUUAUUUAAAAAAAAAUUGUUUGAUAUAUGUCAUAAUAUUAUUAUUUUUUUAAAAGAUUAGUCUGCUAAAAAAAAUAUAUAAAUGAUUAUAUUUUUAUUAUAUUCUUUAACUCGAAUUUUUUUAAGUUUAUUAUGAGAGGGAGAGGGUGAGAGAAAGAGUUAGUAUUAACUUUUAUAUUCCACAAUUGGGUGACUAUUUAUAUAGCGUCAAUUCUAUGGUGCCUUUUGUUUGGUGUUUAACUUUUGCCUAAAUUACUUUUUAUAGUAACUUUAAAAUAUUUAAAAUUUUUUAACUUUUAUAUUUUUAAAUUUAAAAUUGAUUAUUUUAUUUAUUUUAGUAAUUAGGCCAUAGUUUUUAGGUAUCAUAGCAAACACCUUUAUAUAGUUCCACAGUUGGUUACCAAAUGAUGAACUAGGCAUCUAUGAAAGAUGGAGUUUUAAAAGGACCAAUAUAUGAAAAAUUGUGUAGUCUCUCUUGUAAAUCAAGAAAUUGAUUUUGCAUGUCUAACAAAUGCAAAAGGGUCUCCAUUUCAGAUUGGGUCAGUUCAACGGACUGCGGGAAAUUGAAGUAAAAUUAUUAUUAUUAUUAUUAUUAUUAUUAUUAUUUUUAGUUAAUGGAUGACUUAAAGGAAAAGAAAACACAAUUACUAUUACUAUUCAAAUUCAUGGCAAUUGUUUAGUUAAGCGAGCUCAUUCUUCCACGUGAUUAUUAAGGUUAUAAACAACUUCGUCAGAGUGCAACAUGAAUGUGAAGAAUGCUACUUGGUGCUGAAGAAUUCUCCACCUCUAUGGUUGGUUUGAAAUUGAUGAGGAUAAGUUAACAUAUUCACACACACAUAGGUUAAACCUUAAACCGAUCUAUUUUAAGAAAUUAGAAAAAAAGUGUAAGAAUUUCUUAGCUACCUCAAGAGCAAAUGAAAAUUUUGUUCUAUUUUAUUUAUGUUGUGAAUUUGUGAUACAUCAAUAAUUUAAGUCAUUUUUAUUUUUAAAUUAAAAAAAAAAAGACGCAUGUUAUUUGAAAUUUGAACUAACGCUUCUUCACGUGAAUUUGACUUCACCUGAGUUUCUACCAUAUAUAAAAUAGAACAAAAAUUGUCAUUUAUACUCUUGGAGCAUCUAAUAUAAGAAAAAUCCUCAAAAAAUUGUUGGAAGGUCUUUAAUUUAUAUAUCUUUCUUUUCUAAGUUCUAUAUUUUAGUUAGUAUAAUUUUUAGUGUUAAAUACAAAAAUGUUACUUUACUUUUUAAUAUGUGUUUUAUUGUUAAUAAUUAUAUAAAAUCAUGCUUUUUAUUUCUAUCAUUUCUUCAUACAUUUUUAUGAAACAAAUAAUAUUAAUGAUAUAGUAUUUUUAUAGAAUAAUAAUAUUACUCAUUUUUAUAAUUAAUAUAAAUAUUGAUAAAAUGGUAUUUUCUAAAUAAAGGUAUUGACCAUCAGCGACAUCAUACACAGAGAUAAUCUAGAAGCUUAGUAUUGUAAGGAGCAGAACAAAUUAAAACUACAAAAAUAAUUACAACGUAUAUAAUUCAUUUAAAAGAUUGAAAUGAGAACAAAAAUAAUUAAAAAAAAUAAAAGGUACAAAAGAAUUUUUGAAAGAUUUAACAGUUUAAGAGAAUAAUAGCUAUGCUUUUUUAUUGAAAGUGCUGUUGUGGCAAGCACGGAUCUUAUGUAGUAAGUUGACAAAGUAGUUUUUAUAUAUUAUUUUUAGUAAAGGAUUUUUUUGGUUCUCCACAGGUUUCGAUGGAUUCUUAAUUUGGUUUCUAAUGCUUUAAGUGUUCUCUUUUAAUUUUAAAAAUUUUUAAACGUCUUAUUUUAAUCUAAAAAAAAUCAAGCGAGUUUAAUAUUAUCUAAUUAUUAAAUUUGAUACAAACAAUUCGUAUAUCAAUGAGUUAAUAACGCUCAAUUUCAAUAUGUAAGUAAAAUUAAUCUACUAACGAUCAUCAAUGUAAAAGUUUUUCUUUUAAUUUUAGAAUAUUGAUGAUUGAUCGUUAGGGCGACGGUCACCAUGAGCAGCUUGCUGCAAUUACGCAAUCUUUGGCAUUGAUCCAAGUCUAACUCGCCUAGAAGUUGAAAGAAUGAUGAAGGUUAAAUUUGGUUUAAAAUUUCACAAAUUUAAAAACUUGAAUUCGUUGUAAGCAUAGUCCUAAAUCGGCAAAUAACCCUAUUAAAGUUUAAAAAUUGUCACAAUUUAGAUCAAAUAACCGAAAUUUUUAAAUCUCGGAUUAUUCUCCCACAAAAUUGCAGUCGUGUGUGCAUAUCAUUAACUAUGAGAGAAUUGGGGGGUAAGAGCAAUAAACAAGAAUUUAAAUAGCAAGAAAGUAAAAUAAUUAACUAAACAUCAAAGGAAAUUAAACUAAAAGCAAUUAGAACAAAAGAAGGAAAAUUCAGAUGCUAAAAGAAAUCUUGGCUAAGGGUUGAGUUAAAGAUCACUAUCCUAUUCAUUGACCACAAAUAUAGUAAUUAUGAAGAGUUAAUCCCAUUUAGUCAAGGCCUAAAUAUUGGGAGAAAAUAAAAUAGGCAUAAUUAAUUUUAAUCCACAAAUCCUAACCAACUCACUAAUUAGGCUUAGUGAAAGGAUAGCGUUAGUGGAAACAAAAUCAACUAACAACCCUAAAUUAUCAAUUAAUAUUGGACAUCAAUGACUUAAGGUCACCUAAAUUCUCAAUCCCAAGCCAAGAAUGUAAAAUCUACUCUAAAACUAAAGAAGACUUUUUAUCAAAUAUUUAGAAGGCAUAUAAACAAAGCAUCAUAAAUUGUAUGAAUAAUAAAAUCUAUAACUACUAAAUUCAAGAAAACUAUAAUAACAAAUCAAUUAAACAUCAAGAAAGCAUAUAAACAUCAAAUUGCAUUAAAGAAAAGUAAGAAUUUAACAAUUAUAUUGUUCAUAAACUAAAAUUAGCGAAAUCGAGAAGCUAACAAGUAAAACUCAACAAAUUAAGAUGCUAGAACAAGAAAAUAUAAAGAAAAUUAAACUAAAACAAUGAUCAAAACCUAAAACUAAGAAUAAAUUAAACUAAGAAACCUAAAAUUCUAGAGCUUCUCUCUCUAGAAUUAUCCUAAAAUAUCAUACUAAACUAUUACUAUACUACUUCUACACUACUCGGUUGGUCCCCUUUGAAUUCUUGCUUCAAAUGCUUUAGAAAUGAGUUGGCUUGGGCCCAAAAUGGGCUUCAAAUCGCGAGCCACGUAUUAACUUAAGUGAGUCACGUGCUGCAAGUCGUGUGUAUGCACAGGCCAUGCGUAUGAAUGAAUUGAAGGAGAUGCAUAUGCCCAAGCCAUGCGUAUGCACAAUCUAGAAAAUGUCCAAUCUUCAUUUCUUCAUGAAUUCUCUACUUUAGCAUGCUUUUCCUUUAUUCUUCCAAGCCAUCCUUGCCUUCUAACCCUUGAAUUACUCAAACAAACAUAUCAAGGUAUCGAAUGGGAUAAAAGUGAAUCAAAUUUGACAAUUUAAAGUAUAAAAAGUAUGUUUUUAAUAAUUAAGCAUAAUUAUGGAGAAAUUCACAAAAGCAUGCAAUUUCAAGAAAUAAAUGCAAGGUAAGUUGAUAAAAUUUACUCUCUUCAAGCCAACAAUAAUCGUAAAAUAUGAAUUUAUCAAAGAACUACCACGUAUGUCAUUGCAGCACUCUGCCUUCACACCAUCUCAAUGCAUGAAGGUGGAUUUUCCGUGCUUUUUGGCAGGGAUGAUGUCUUGCAAUGGAUCUUUCAAACUGAGCAUUUCUUCCGAAUCUAUGAUAUUCCAGAGAUUCAAAAGUUGGAUAUCAUUACUGUGAGCUUAGAAUGGAGGGCUUUGACUUAAUUUAUCUACUACUAUUGAGAUUUAAUUUGGACCUUCUCAGUUUAAAAAUCCUAGGAAGGAAUUGUUUAAGUUGAAAUAAUCAUCAUCUGUUAGAAACUACUUUGAGACUUUCAAUGAUUUGGCUGCAAGAACAUAUGAUUUAGAUGACACUUUGUUGCUUGAUUAUUUUAUUGGUGGGUUGAAUCUUGAACUGAAAAGGGAAGUUAAAUCUAGAUGUCCUGCGUGUGUCUAAUAAAAGCUGUUUCUCUUACCAAAUUAUUUGAGGAAAAAUUUUUGCCACACACCCAGCGCUGGCGUUCUCCUUCUAACUAGCUCCAACAAUCGAUUUCAAGACCAGCCCCUACCACACCAUUUGAACCAAAUGCCUCUAACCCAUCCGCUUCACCACAACAGCAGAAUACACCAUUAUUAUCCACACCGCCCAAAGCCACAGCUUUACGCGAACUAACUCCUACUAAAUCCAAUUUAGAGGAAAGAAGGGUCUUUCCUUUACUUGUGAUGAGCAAUUUUUGUCCAGCCACAAGUGCACAGUCAAGUACUAUUUCAUUAUUUAGACCAUGGAAGAAGUUCCCAAUGAGGUUCAAUUAUAGAAGAAAUGAGGUCAUUCAGCGACUAGAAGACAUUUCGGCAGUGGAUUCUGCCAAAUGCUCCACUUAUCAUAUAAUGUUUUGACUGGAAUUCCUAUCAAAAGGUCCAUUCGAUUUUGGAGAAUAGUUUAAGGAUGGAAAUUUCGAGUUCUCAUGGAUGGAGGUAGCUUCGACAAUUUCAUACACCUUGCUUUAACUAGUGCCUUACUAUUCCAAUUCACCAUGCUCCAUAGUUUAAGUUGCAAGGAAGAAGUGGUGAUCUUUUACAAUGUGAAGGAGAAGUCAGGGACGUUCUGAUGAAUAUUCAGGGACAUACAUUGUUUAUUAGUGCAUUUGUGCUACCUACAGCCACAAAGGAGUUGGUGCUAGGGGACAUUUGGUUGGAGAUGUUAGAUACUCAUAUUGUGAAUUAUAAAAAAUAUUUAUUAUGUUCAUAGACGGUGACUAGUUGGUGACCUUGCAGGGUGAAGUUAGCCAGCUCCCGGUGUAAGCCCAAUUCAACCAUCUCAAACGCUUGCAAACCACUAAUGAAAUUUGGAAACUCUAUACAUUGCAGCUAAGGGAAACUGCAGAGACUCCACUGCCAUAUUUAAUUUACCUAGUGAUAUUGGAUCUGAACUUACUUUGUUGUUACACACUUAUUGGGAGGUCUUUAGCACUCCACAUGGCCUAUCUCCUAUUUGUACACACGAUCAUAGAAUUCAGCUCCAGUCAAAGUUUGGCCAUAUCGGUACUCGUAUAGUCAGAAAAUUGAUAUUGAAAAAAUUGUUAGCGAAAUCUUGGCUGAGGGUAUUGUUUGGCUUAGCACAAGUCCAUUUUCAUUCCUAUUUCUGCUUGUUAAAAAGAAGGGUAGUUCUUAGAGGUUUUGUACGAAUUAUAGGACCUUAAUGGCCGUCACGGUUAAGGCCUCUUUCCCCAUGCCAACCGUGGAUGAACUUCUUGAUGAACUUUUUGGCGCCCAAUACUUCUCCAAGUUGGAUUGAUAAACCACAAUUUUAUGGUUUAUUUUGUAUUGUAUUUGGUGGAUUUUGUCAACUUUUCUCCAUUUAUCCACUAAAAUAGCAUGGUUUUGUAAUUCUCCCUAAUUUGUGCUUAAUGAUUGAAAACAUGCUUUUUAGGCUUUUAAAGUGCUAAAUUUAAUUCACUUUUCUCUCAUUCGAUGCCUUGAUAUAUUUGUUGAGUGAUCUCAGUAUUUAUAAGGUAAGGAUUGGAUGAAAGAAGUGAAGAAAAAGCAUGCAAAGUGGAAAACUCAUGAAGAAAUGAGCAUUUGGAGGAUUCAGAGCGACGCGUACGCGUGAUCCACGCAUACGCGUGAGGAGGAAAUCUGCUAGGCAACGCGCAUGCAUCACCCACGCGCACGCGUGACGUUGGUCAUAUAAUCUCAUUAAAGUGAAAACGCUGGGGACGAUUUAUGAGCCAUCCAGGCCCAAAUCCAACUCAUUUCUGAAGCUAUUAGAGGCCAAAUUCAAGGAGGAUCAAAGGGAGAGCAAUUAGUGUAGUGUAGGAACAUGCUUUAGGUUAUAUUCUAGAGAGAGAAGCUCUCUCUUCUCUCUAGAAUUAGGGUAGAAUUAGGUUAGAUUUUUCUUAGAUUUAUGUUUAAUUCUUUUUUUCAUUUACUUUUCCUUGCAAUUUAUCGUUCUUGCAUCUUUGUUCCUUUAGUUCUACUUGUUAUUUCCUUUUAUUUGUUGCCUUUAUGUUCAUGCACUCUUGUUGAUUUUAAUUUCAUUUAAUGAAAUUUAUGUUUUCAUGUUAUUAUUGCUUUCUUUAGUUGUUAUUGUUGAUUUCUUGCAUUUGGUAGUCAUAGAUUUUAUAUUCUUGCUAUUUUAACAUGCUUUCCUUUUUAUGCCUUCCAAGUGUUUGAUAAAAUGCUUGGUUGGUUUUUAGAGUAGAUUUUGGUACUCUUAGCUUGUGAUUGAGGACUUAGGUCCCUUGAGAUUAUUGAUGUCCAGUUUUAUUGGUGAUUUAGGAUUGUUAAUUGGUUCUAGGACCAAUUAUGUCCACUUGACUUUCCUUCAAUUGUUAGAGGAUAACUAAGUGGAAUUAAUCCUUUGUAAUCACCAUGUUGUGGUCAAUGGUCCAAGAUAGGAGCCCUUAACUCUUGAUCCUUGCCAAGACCCAUUUUAGUGUUAGUUUUACUUUCUUGUCAUUUUUAUUUUCUUGUCAAUCAAACCCAAAACCCCCAAAAGAUACAUCAUAACCAAUAAUAUGCACACUUCCUUGCAAUUCCUUUGAGAGACGACUCAAGGUUUAAAUACUUCGGUUAUUUUUAUUGGGUUUGUACUUGUGACAAACAAAUUAAACUUUGACUGAGGAUUGUUUGUCGGUUUAGAUCUAUACUUCGACGAGAUUAUUUUUGUGAAAUUCUAUACCGAUGAUUAUCCCACAUCAUGGAUUUGCGAGCUGGUUAUCACAAGAUAAGAGUGAAACCGGAGGAUUGCUUUAAGACAGCAUUUCGCACCCACCAAGGCUUAUACGAAUGGCUUGUGAUGCCUUUUGGCUUGACCAAUAUGCUGGCGACUUUCCAAAGUCUCAUCAAUUCGAUUUUUGAGGCUGUCUUAAGAAAGUUUGUCUUGGUUUUUUUAUGAUAUUCUUGUUUAUAGCCCAGAUUGGCAGUCUUACUUCCAGCAUUUAAGAUAUAUGCUGUCCAUUUUAAAAGAAAAUGCCUUGUUUGCUAAACUCUCAAAGUGUUCAUUUAGACAAACGCAUGUUGAUUAUUUGGGCCAUGUGGUUUCUAGAGUAGGGGGGUCGUGUAGAUGACUCGAAGAUACAAGCUAUUUCACAAUGGCCUACUCCCACCUUUCUCAAGCAGUUACGUGCUUUCUUUUGUCAUGCUAGUUACUAUUAUAAAUUUAUCAAACAGUUUACUAUUUUAGCAGCCACUCUAACUGAUCUCCUCAAGAAGGAUAACUUUGUUUGGUCCCCAAGAGCAAUGACAGCAUUCUAAUGAUUGAAGGAAGCCCACUCCAAGGCACCUGUUUUGGUUUUGCCGGAUUUUUCGAAGCCUUUUGUGUUGGAAACAGAUGCGUCAGGCACAGGAAUUGGUGCUAUUUUGAGUCAUGCCGAGUACCCCAUCGCUUAUUUCUCAAAAAAUCUCUCGAGCAUAGCUCAAUCUCAAUUAGUUUAUGCGCAGAAAAUGUAGGCUAUUAUCACCGCAGUUACUAAGUUCCGUCACUACUUGCUUGGUUAUAAGUUUGUGAUCCAGACAUACCAUAAGAGCUUGAAAGAAUUGCAGGCGCAAAUCAUUCAAACACUAAAGUAGCAGGUUUGGCUAGCCAAGCUAUUGGGUUAUAAUUUUACAAUCGAAUAAAAGAAGGGUAGCGACAACUAAGGGGCAGAUGGGCUGUCGUGUUCAUUCAUGCAGCUGACUAGGGUGGAUUAGGCGCUCUUAUCCCUUGCUGCAACAGGAGCUUCAAACAUAUCGUCCUGAAUCAGAUUUUGCAAAGGCUGAAAUGCAUUCAAGGAGGUUAUAAUUCAGACAUGGUUUAUGGUUUUGGAAUGAUAGACUCGUGAUUCCAGCUUCUUCUUCCUUGAUUGAGAACUUGUUGAAAGAAGGCCAUGUUUCCAUUAUUGGGGGACAUGGGGUUGUGCAGAAAAUGCUGUCUCGCUUAGCAACCCAAUUUUAUUGGAAGGACAUGGCUAAAUCAGUUAAAGACUACGUUUGAACUUGUCCCAUUUGUCAGCAGGCCAAGUAUAGCAUGCAACCACCUACUGACUUGUUAGAACCUCUUCCCAUUCCAUUACAGAUUUGGCUGGAUCUUUUGAUGGAUUUUAUCACUGGUUUGCUCGUGGCACAUGGUUGUUUUGUAAUCCUAGUGGUAGUGGACUGUUUGUCCAAAUUUCCACAUUUCAUUCCCCUCCCGAUAGAUUUCACACACCCAAAGUGGCAGAAGUCAUUGUAAGGUAUGUGGUUAGCGUCCAUGACAUGCCUCAAUCAAUUGUUUAAGACCAUGACAAAGUCUUCACAAGCAUAUUUUGGGAACAAUGCUAUAAGCAGCAAAGUAUACUAUUGGCUCGAAGCUUGACAUAUCACCCGAAAUCCGAUGGCCAGAUGGAGGUACUAAAUAAGUGUCUUGAGAUAUAUUUGCGGUGCUAUACUUAGGAAAAUUCUAAGGCAUGGUAUAAGCUUUUUCCAUGGACGGCUUAUAGUUAUAACACAUCCUUCCACUCAGCUAUCGGUAUGAUGCCUUACAAGGAAGUAUUUGGGAAGGAUCCUCUACCCCUACUAUGUUAUGACCCACACCCGAAUGACCCUCCAAUGUUGCAAGAGCAUCUACAGUUAACAGAUGUGGUGUUGACAACCUUAAAACAAAAUUUACACAAGGCACAAGCAAGAAUAAAAGCUCAGGCAGAUAGCAACUGAAGAGAGUUAGAGUUUAAUGUGGGAGAUUUUGUCUAUGUGAAAUUACAGCCUUAUAGGAAGCACUCCAUGGCGCUGAGGAAGUAUCCAAAAUUGUCCAUGCGUUAUUUUGGACCAUUUUCAAUAAUUGCUCUAGUUGGGAAUGUAGCAAACAAGUUAGAACUCCCUAACUCAGCUAGAAUUCACCUGGUCUUCCAUAUCUCUCUACUAAAGAAGUGUGCAGGGGUCUCUACUCCAGCAACCAUUCCAUCUUUGCUGCUGUUAGAUGAGAGAGGGUGCCAACUAUAACUACAUGCGAUUUUGGGACACCGCGUGAUUAAAAGGGAUGGAAAUUGGAUCGAGGAAGUUCUGAUUCAUUGGCAAAAUUCAUUGAUGAGCGGAUAAUUUAUACGCUUUUUGGCAUUGUUUUUACAUAGUUUUCAGUAUGAUUUAGUUAGUUUUCAGUAUAUUUUUAUUAAUUUUUAAAUAAAAUUCACAUUUCUGGACUUUACUAUGAGUUUGUAUAUUUUUCUGUGAUUUCACGUAUUUUCUGGCUGAAAUUGAGGGAGUUGAGCAAAAAUCAGAUUCAGAGGUUGAAGAAGGACUGCAGAUGUUGUUGGAUUCUGAUCUCUCUGCACUCAAAGUAGAUUUUCUGGAGCUACAAAACUCCAAAUGAUGCGCUCUUAAUUGCGUUGGAAAGUAGAUAUCCAGGGCUUUCCAGAAAUAUAUAAUAGUCCAUACUUUGCUCGAGUUUAGAUGACGCAAACUGGCAUUCAGCGCCAGUUCCAUGCUGCAUUCUAGAGUUAAACGCCAGAAAUAGGUUGCAAAGUGGAGUUAAACACCAGAAACAGGUUACAAACUGGCAUUCAACUCCAAGAGAAGCCUCUACACGUGUAAAGCUCAAUGCUCAGCCCAAGCACACACCAAGUGGGCCCCGAAAGUGGAUUUCUGCAUCAUUUACUCAUUUCUGUAAAUCCUAGUAACUAGUUUAGCAUAAAUAGGACUUUUUACUAUUGUAUUUACAUCUUCGGAUCAUUUUUAGUCUUGGUUCUCCUGGUUCCCUCUCUGGGGCCGAGACCAAUGAACUCCAUUAUCACUUAUGUAUUUUCAACGGCAGAGUUUCUACACACCAUAGAUUAAGGUGUGGAGCUCUGCUGUUCCUCAUGAAUUAAUGCAAAGUACGAUUGUUUUUCUAUUCAAUUCAAGCUUAUUCCUUCUCUAAGAUAUCCAUUCGCACCCAAAAACAUGAUGAAUGCGAUGAUUAUGUGACGCUCAUCAUCAUUCUCAAUUAUGAACGCGUGCUUGACAACCACUUCCGUUCUACAUGCAAACAAGCUAGAAUGAGUAUCUCUUAGAUAUCUAAUACAGGGGACCGAGUCCGAGAUAUUAGAAUCUUCGUGGUAUAAGUUAGAACCCAUGGACGGCCAUUCUUGAGAUCCGGAAAGUCUAAACCUUGUCUGUGGUAUUCCGAGUAGGAUCUGGGAAGGGAUGGCUGUGACGAGCUUCAAACUCGCGAGUGCUGGGCGUACUGACAGACGCAAAAGGAUAGUAAAUCCUAUUCCAGUAUGAUCGAGAACCGAAAGAUGAUUAGCCAUGCAGUGACAGCGCAUUGGACUAUUUUUACAGAGAGGAUGGGAUGUAGCCAUUGACAACGGUAAUUCCCUACAUAAAGCUUGCCAUGAAAAGGAGUAUGAAUGAUUGGAUGAAGAUAGCAGGAAAGCAGAGGUUCAGAGGAACAAAAGCAUCUCUAUACGCUUAUCUGAAAUUCUCACCAAUGAAUUACAUAAGUAUCUCUAUCCUAGUUUAAGUUUUAUUUAUCUUUUAAUUAUUAAAACUCUAUAACCAUUUGAAUUCGCCUGACUGAGGUUUAUAAGGUGACCAUAGCUUGCUUCAAGCCGACAAUCUCCGUGGGAUCGACCCUUACUCACGUAAGGUUUAUUACUUGGACGACCCAGUGCACUUGCUGGUUAGUUGUGUGAAGUUGUGACAAAGAAUUAAGAUUAUGAAUGUGCGUAUUGAGUUUUUAGCGCCGUUACCAAGGAAUGGAACCGUCACGAUUUCUGCGCACCAAGUUUUUGGCACCGUUGCCGGGGAUUGUUCGAGUUUGGAAAACUGACGGUUCAUCCUGUUGCUCAGAUUAGGUAAUUUUAUUAUAAUUUUAACCUUUUUGUUUUUAUUAUUCUUAUUUUCGAAAAUUUCAAAAAAAAUUUCUUUUUUUCGUUUUUUCCAAUUAAUUUUCGAAAAAUACAAAAAAAUUUACAAAAUCAUAAAAUCAAAAAUAUUUUUUGUGUUUCUUGCUUGAGUCUAGAGUCAACUUUUAAGUUUGGUGUCAAUUGCAUCUUUUUAAUUUUCUAAAAAUUAUUUUCGAAAAUUUCAUGCAUUGCAUUCUUCAUGAUCUUCAAGUUGUUCUUGGCCAGUCUUCUUAUUUGAUCUUCAUAUUUUCUUGUUUUGUGUCUUUUCUAGUUUUUCAUAUGCAUUUUCAAUUUGUUAGUGUCUAAAGUUUGAAAAUUUCUAUGUUUGGUGUCUUGCAUAUUUUUCUUUUCUUAAAAAUUUUCAAAAAUAAGUCUUGAUGUUCAUCUUGAUCUUCAAAGUGUUCUUAGUAUUCAUCUUGACAUUUAAAGUGUUCUUGCAUGCAUCAUGUGUUUUGAUCUAAAAUUUCCAUGCAUUGUGUCUUUUUUUGUAUUUUUCUCUCUCAUUAUUAAAAAUUCAAAAAUCAAAAAAAUAUCUUUCCCUUUUUCUCCUCAUAAAAUUCGAAUAUUUGAGUUGACUUUUUCAAAAAAUUUUAAAAUUUAGUUGUUUCUUAUGAGUCAAAUCAAACUUUCAAUUUAAAAAUUCUAUCUUUUUUCAAAAAUCAAAUCUUUUUCAUUUUUCUUUUAUGAUUUUCGAAAAUUUCAAAAAUUAUUUUCAAAAUCUUUUUCUUAUUUCUAUUUCACAUUUUCGAAUUAAUUGCUAACAUUUAAUGUUUUAAUUCAAAAAAAAUUUUAAGUUGUUACUUGCCUAUUAAGAAAGGUUCAAUCUUUGAAUUUUAAAAUCAUAUCUUUUAGUUUCUUGUUAAUCAAGUAAUCAACUUUGAUUUCAAAAAUCAAAUAUUUUUAAUUUCCAAUUCAAAUCUCUUUCAAAAUGAUUUUCAAUCAUAUCUUUUUCAAAUUGAUUUUCAAAUCUUUUUCAAUCAAUCUUAUCUUUCUGUUUGAAUCAUAUCUUUUUCAAAACUACUUAACUAAUUCUCUCUCUCUAAUUUUCGAAAAUCCCUUCCCUCUUUUUCAAAAUUCCUUUUAAUUAACUAAUUGUUUUAAUUUUAAUUCAAUUUGAUUUCAAUUUUAAUUUUCGAAAUUUAACUUUAAAUUUUAUUUUUAUUUUAAUUGAUUUUCGAAAUUCCUCCCUCUCUCAUCUCCUUCUGAUUAUUUAUUUAUUUACUAACACUCCUCUUCAUCUAAGAAUUCGAACCCACUCCUCACCCUUGUGUUUGGAUUCUCCUUCUUCUACUCACAUAAAGGAAUCUCUAUACUGUGACAUAGAGGAUUCCAUAUUUUCUUUUCUGUUUUCUUCUUUUUCAUAUGAGCAGGAACAAGGAUAAAAAUAUUCUUGUUGAAGCUGAUCCUGAACCUGAAAGAACUCUGAAGAGGAAGCUAAGGGAAGCUAAAGCACAACUCUCUGGAGAAAAUCUGACAGAAAUUUUCGAAAAAAAAGGAGACAUGGCCGAAAAUAAUAACAAUGCAAGGAAGAUGCUUGGUGACUUUACUGCACCUAAUUCCAAUUUACAUGGAAGAAGCAUCUCAAUCCCUGCCAUUAGAGCAAACAACUUUUCAGUUCUUAACUGAAUUCUUGUAGAUCUGUGAUACUAUUAAGACCAAUGGGGUUGAUCCCGAGGUCUACAGGCUUAUGCUUUUCCCGUUUGCUGUAAGAGACAGAGCUAGAGUAUGGUUGGACUCUCAACCUAAAGAUAGUAUUCUUCUUCUGAAGAGAAUGAAGAUGUUACUGAAGAGCAAGUUGCCAAGUACCUUGGUGCAUAUCAUGAAGCUGAAUGCCAAAUUAUUUGGUAAUGAGACUUGGGAAGAUGAACCUCCCCUGCUCACCAAUGAACUGAGUGAUCUGGAUCAACUGACAUUGCCUCAAAAGAAACAGGAUCCUGAAAAGUUCUUAAUACCUUGUACCAUAGGCACCAUAACCUUUGAGAAGGCUCUAUGUGACAUUGGGUCAGGGAUAAACCUCAUGCCACUCUCUGUAAUGGAGAAACUUGGAAUCUUUAAGGUGCAAGCUGUCAGAAUCUCAUUAGAGAUGGCAGACAACUCAAGAAAACAGGCUUAUGGGCAAGUAGAGGACGUGUUAGUAAAGGUUGAAGACCUUUACAUCCCUACUGAUUUCAUAAUCCUAGACACAGGGAAGGAUGAGGAUGAAUCCAUCAUCCUUGGAAGACCCUUCCUAGCCACAGCAAGAGCUGUGAUUGAUGUGGACAAAGGAGAGUUAGUCCUUCAACUGAAUGAGGACAACCUUGUGUUUCAAACUCAAGGAUCUCCUUCUGUAACCAUGGAGAGGAAGCAUGAAAAGCUUCUCUCACUGUAGAGUCAACAAAAACCCCACAGUCAAACUCUAAGUUUGGUGUUGAACCCCCACAUUCAAACUCUAAGUUUGGUGUUGGGAGGUUCCAACCUUGCUCUGAUUAUCUGUGAGGCUCCAUGAGAGCUCACUGUCAAGCUAUUGACAUUAAAGAAGCGCUUGUUGGGAGGCAACCCAAUGUUAUUUAAGCAUAUCUAUUUUAUUUUCUUUUUGUUAUUUCGUGUUUUAUUAGGUUGAUGAUCAUGUGAAGUCACAAAAACUACUGAAAAAUCAAAAACAGAAUGAAAAAUAGCAUUGAAAAUAGCACACCCUGGAGGAGAGCAGUCUGGCGUUUAAACGCCAGAAACAAGCAUCUGUCUGGCGUUUAACGCCAGAAACAGGCACCAAGCUGGCAUUAAACACCAGAAACAAGCUACAUUUGGGCGUUUAACGCCAGAAACAGGCAGCAGUCUGGCGUUAAACGCCAGGAUUGCACAGCAAGGGCGUUUUACACGCCUAAUUGGAGCAGGGAUGUUAAGUCCUUGACCCCACUUGAUCUUUGGAUCCCACAGGAUCCCCUCAAGAUCUGUGGACCCCACAGGAUCCCUACCUUUUCUUCUCUCCUCUUCACACAUUUUCAUAACUCUCUCCCCCAAAUACCCUUCACCAAUCAACUCAAUCACUCUUCCCCAUCACCUCUUCACCACUCACAUCCAUCCUCUCUUCCCCAAAAACCCCACCUACCUUCAAAUUCAAAAUAUUUUCCCUUCCAAACCCAACCCUAAUGGCCGAAACUUAAACCCCUCCCCACUUCUAUAUAAACCCUCAUUCCUUCUUCAUUUUCACACAACACAACCCUAUCUUCCCCCCUUGGCCGAAAACACUUCUCUCUCCCUUUCCUCCAUUUCUCUUCUUCUUCUCUUUCUUUCAUUCUUCUUUUGCUCGGGGACGAGCAAACAUUUUAAGUUUGGUAUGGUAAAAGUAUUACUUUUUGUUUUUCCAUAACCACUAAUGGCACCUAAGGCCAGAGAAACCUCUAGAAAGAGGAAAGGGAAGGCAAUUGCUUCCACCUAUGAGUCAUGGGAGAUGGAGAGAUUCAUCUCAAAGGUCCAUCAAGACCACUUCUAUGAAGUUGUGGCCAAGAAGAAAGUGAUCCCUGAGGUUCCUUUCAAGCUCAGAAAGAAUGAGUAUCCGGAGAUCCGACAUGAGAUUCAAAUAAGAGGUUGGGAAGUUCUCACCAACCCCAUUCAACAAGUCGGGAUCUUAAUGGUUCAAGAGUUCUAUGCAAACGCAUGGAUCACUAGGAACCAUGAUCAAAGUGUGAACCCGAAUCCAAAGCAUUGGCUUACCAUGGUUCGGGAGAAAUACUUAGAUUUCAGUCCGGAAAAUGUAAGGCUAGCAUUCAACUUGCCAAUGAUAGAAGAGAACGCAUGCCCCUACACUAGAAGAGUCAACUUUGAUCAAAGGUUGGACCAAGUCCUCAUGGACAUAUGUGUGGAAGGAGCUCAAUGGAAAAUUGACUCAAGAGGCAAGCCGGUUCAACUAAGAAUGCAUGACCUCAAACCAGUGGCGAGGGGAUGGUUAGAGUUCAUUCAACGCUCAAUCAUUCCUACUAGUAACCGGUCUGAGGUUACUAUAGACCGAGCCAUCAUGAUCCAUAGUAUCAUGAUUGGAGAGGAGGUGAAAGUUCAUGAGAUUAUACCUCAAGAACUUUACAAGGUGGCUGACAAGUCCUCCACUUGGGCAAGGUUAGCCUUUCCUCACCUCAUAUGCCACCUCUGCAAUUCGGCUGGAAUUGACAUAGAGGGAGACAUCCUCAUUGAAGAGGACAAGCCCAUCACUAAGAAAAGGAUGGAACAAAUAAGAGAUCAUGGACCUCAACAAGAGCAUGAGAAAAUUCCUCAUAAUGAAAUCCCUGAGAUGCCUCAAGGGAUGCACUUUCCUCCACAAAACUAUUGGGAGUAAAUCAACACCUCCCUAGGAGAAUUAAGUUCCAACAUGGGACAACUAAGGGUGGAACAUCAAGAGCACUCCAUCAUCCUUCAUGAGAUUAAAGAAGAUCAAAGAGCUAUGAGGGAGGAGCAACAAAGGCAAGGAAGAGACAUGGAGGAGCUCAAAAGCACCAUUGGUUCUUCAAGAAGAGGAAGACGCCAUCCUCACUAAGGUGGACUCAUUCCUUAAUCUCCUUGUCUAUUUAUUUUACUGUUUUUCGAUUUUUGAGCUUUAUGUUUUAUUUAUGUUUGUGUCUUUACUAUAUGAUCACUAGUGUCUAAGUGUCUAUGCCUUAAAGUUAUGAAUAUGAAUCCAUCACCUCUCUUAAAUGAAAAAAUGUUCUAAAAACAAAAGAACAAGAAGUACAUGGUUUCGAAUUCAUCCUUGAAACUAGUUUAAUUAUUUUGAUGUGGUGACAAUACUUUUUGUUUUUUGAAUGAAUGCUUGAACAGUGCAUAUGUCUUUUGAAAUUGUGGUUUAAGAAUGUUAAAUAUGUUGGCUCUUGAAGAAUGAUGAAAAAGGAGACAUGUUAUUUGAUAAUCUAAAAAAUCAUAAAAUUGAUUCUUGAAGCAAGAAAAAGCAGUGAAUACAAAAAGCUUGCAAAAAAAAGAAAAAAAAAAGAAAAGAAAAAAAUGGCAAAAAAAAAGAGAGAAAGAAAAAAAGAAAAAGCAAGCAGAAAAAGCCAAUAGCCCUUAAAACCAAAAGUCAAGGGUAAUAAAAAAGAUCCAAGGCUUUGAGUAUCAGUGGAUAGGAGGGCCUAAAGGAAUAAAAUCCUGGCCUAAGCGGCUAAACCAAGCUGUCCCUAACCAUGUGCUUGUGGCGUGAAGGUGUCAAGUGGCAACAAUUUAAGUUUGGUGUUGUGAUGAGCGGAUAAUUUAUACGCUUUUUGGCAUUAUUUUUAUAUAGUUUUCAGUAUGAUUUAGUUAGUUUUCAGUAUAUUUUUAUUAGUUUUUAAAUAAAAUUCACAUUUCUGGACUUUACUAUGAGUUUGUAUAUUUUUCUGUGAUUUCAGAUAUUUUUUGGCUGAAAUUGAGGGACUUGAGCAAAAAUCAGAUUCAGAGGUUGAAGAAGGACUGCAGAUGCUGUUGGAUUCUGACCUCUCUACACUCAAAGUGGAUUUUCUAGAGCUACAGAACUCCAAAUGGCGCGCUCUUACUUGCGUUGGAACGUAGACAUCCAAAGCUUUCCAGCAAUAUAUAAUAGUUCAUACUUUGCCCGAGUUUAGAUGACGCAAACUGACGUUCAAUGCCAGUUCCAUGCUGCAUUCUGGAGUUAAACGCCAGAAACAGGUUGCAAAGUGGAGUUAAAUGCCAGAAACAGGUUACAAACUGGCGUUCAACUCCAAGAGAAGUCUCUACACGUGUAAAGCUCAAUGCUCAGCCCAAGCAUACACCAAGUGGGCCCCAGAAGUGGAUUUCUGCAUCAUUUACUCAUUUCUGUAAACCCUAGUAACUAGUUUAGCAUAAAUAGGACUUUUUACUAUUGUAUUUACAUCUUCGGAUCAUUUUUAGUUUGGUUCUCCUGGUUCCCUCUUUGGGGCCGAGACCAAUGAACUCCAUUAUCACUUAUGUAUUUUCAACGGUAGAGUUUCUACACACCAUAGAUUAAGGUGUGGAGCUCUGCUGUUCCUCAUGAAUUAAUGCAAAGUACGAUUGUUUUUCUAUUCAAUUCAAGCUUAUUCCUUCUCUAAGAUAUCCAUUCACACCCAAGAACAUGAUGAAUGUGAUGAUUAUGUAACGCUCAUCAUCAUUCUCAAUUAUGAACGCGUGCCUGACAAACACUUCCGUUCUACAUGCAAACAAGCUAGAAUGAGUAUCUCUUAGAUAUCUAAUAUAGGGGACCGAGUCCGAGAUAUUAAAAUCUUCGUGGUAUAAGUUAGAACCCAUGGACGGCCAUUCUUGAGAUCCAAAAAGUCUAAACCUUGUCUGUGGUAUUCCGAGUAGGAUCUGGGAAGGGAUGGCUGUGACGAGCUUCAAACUCGCGAGUGCUGGGCGUAGUGACAGACGCAAAAGGAUAGUAAAUCCUAUUCCAGUAUGAUCGAGAACUGACAGAUGAUUAGCCAUGCAGUGACAGCGCAUUGGACCAUUUUUACAGAGAGGAUGGGAUGUAGCCAUUGACAACGGUGAUGCCCUACAUAAAGCUUGCGAUGGAAAGGAGUAGGAAUGAUUGGAUGAAGACAGCAGGAAAGCAAAGGUUCAAAGGAACGAAAGCAUCUCUAUACGCUUAUCUGAAAUUCUCACCAAUGAAUUACAUAAGUAUAUCUAUCCUAGUUUAUGUUUUAUUUAUCUUUUAAUUAUUAAAACUCUAUAACCAUUUGAAUCCGCCUGACUGAGGUUUACAAGGUGACCAUAGCUUGCUUCAAGCCGACAAUCUCCGUGGGAUCGACCCUUACUCACGUAAGGUUUAUUACUUGGACGACCUAGUGCACUUGCUGGUUAGUUGUGCGAAGUUGUGACAAAGAAUUAAGAUUAUGAACGUGCGUAUUGAGUUUUUAGCGCCGUUACCAAGGAAUGGAACCGUCAUGAUUUCUGCGCACCAUUCAUCUAGUGAGAAGGCCACUUGGAAACUCUAUGAGGAUGCGAAGAAUUAAUACCCCACUUUUGACCUUGAGGGCAUGGUCACUUUCAAUGGAGGGGGUAAUGAUACAAGCCAAAGAAAGAAUACAAUUGGAAAAGGGGCUCAACAGAAAGAGAAUCCAUAAAAUAAGAGCUCUAACUAACUUGCGCAAAGAAAGAGAAGUAUGAAAUAGCUAAAGGAGGCUUAGGGAAGAUCAUCUUGAUGCUCUGUGAGUCUCAUCUCUUUGACCUUCUUUCUCUCUGACUCUCAAACUUCUUCUUCUUCUAUUCUUGGUCUUAUACUGGUUCACUAUUUCUAAUACAGAUGAUACACUAAUUGUACUUAGCUGGAACCCCAUCAUUUCUUCUUGUUACUCAAUACAAACAAAUACUCUACCAUUGUUCCCUUUUAUUCAUUUGUUAAUUCCGUUAUCUCUGGUUCCAUAUUAGAGACUAAAUCAAAAUUUUAUCCAAAUAUUAAGAACCAAAAUAAUACUUUUACUCUUUUAUUUUUUAAGAUUUUAUUUCGAGUAAAUAAUCAUUUCUAACCAUGAAAGACUUGAACGCCGACAAAAUUGACUGUAAAAAAUUUAAACUAAUGUUAUACCUUUAAAUUGUAGGAUUACAAGUGUUCAUAACACGCAGCGGAAGUAAUAAAGUAAUCCUAUUGAUCUAUUUUGUGCUUAAAACUUUAUUGAAAUAAGAUGGGUUAGAUGCCAAUACCUGAGUACCCUAGUAAAUGAAAACUUUCUCCUUCGAUAGUACAAAGGUACUAUGUGUAUUCACACCGAGACUGAUCCUUGUUGUCAACUCCUUGACCAGUGGAUUUAACUGAGAAAUUUCUUGCAACUCCUUGCACCAGCAAUUCUUCACUAAGAAUUGGAAUAUUUGUGUAUGUGGAGGUAAAAGAAAAACUUGUGUGUUCUUUCUUUUAUCAUAUACACAUAUAUAUAGUAUGAGAUUGGUGACUGAUUUGUGAAUCAGAUUACAAUUUAAUUUGAAACAGAAUCAGUUGGAUCUUAUCCAUAUUUAAAACUCAUCAUAGAAUAAAUAAUUAAUUAUUUAAUAUUCUCAAUUAUCAUAUUAUUAUAUUCAUGGUGCUAGCAAAGAAUAUAAUAAUAUUCCAUUUGAAUUCAUAUAAUUAUUUAUUUGAUCUAAUCAAAAUAAUAAUUAAAUGAUUAUUUACCAAGGAUUAGAACACUCGUUAGUGUAUGACCCCAUAGGUUCAAUACUAAGCGGGUAGUAAAUUAGUCAUACUAAAUUUACUAAUCAAGGUUGGCGUCUAGCAACGCUCCUUGACGAUCCGAUAGUAUGAAGUAAUAAUAUUUUUACUAAGAACCCAAGAUGAACAAAAAAUACAACUCCUUCCAUCUUUUCAGCUCUUGGCUAACUUUUAGAGUACGGUUUAAUUGUCAAACUCUAACUUGUUACCAUUAUUAUAAUGAAUUAUGAAUGACUUAAGAAGUUCGAUCCAUGAUGGGUUUUACUGAUCUUCUAUUGAAUUUAUGGGGCUAUGCUUUAGAAACAGCAGCAUAUCUGCUAAAUAAAGUACCCAUUAAAGCAGUUUCUUCAACACCAUAUGAGAUAUGGAAAGGACGAAAAUCAAAUCUCAAGCACAUUAGAGUUUGGGGAUGUCCAGCAUAUGUUAAGAAAUUGUAAAGUAAUAAACUUGAUGCUAGGUCCGAUAAAUGUAGAUUCAUUGGUUACCCUAAAGAAAUAAUGGGUUAUUAUUUCUAUCACCCUUCUGAUCACAAAGUGUUUGUGGCAAGAGGUGGAACCUUUUUAGAAAAGAAAUUUCUUUCUGAAGGAAGACAAGGUGAAGAAAUAGAACUUGAUGAAGUUCAAGAAACCAAUGAAAUAGUACAAGCUCAAGAACAUGAAAUUCAAGUUGAGCAACCAACUUUGGAUGUACUCAAACUAAUACCAAAUUUAUCAUCUUCAAGAGUUGAGGAUAACGAACCAAUAGUAGUUCAAAGAGAGAUUAAUGAACCAAUCCUUGAACUACCUUUGGUACAAGAACUACCUCUUCGAUGGUCCACAAGAGAACAUCGUCCACCACUAAGGCUAAACCUAAUAGUGCAAGAUGAUGUGGAAAAUGGGAUCGAUUAUGAUGAUAAUGAUCCUAAGACUUAUGAAGAGGCAAUGCAAAGUUCCGAAAGUCUAAAAUGGCAGAGUGCCGUGGAAUCCGAAAUAGAGUCUAUGAGGAUCAACAAUGUUUGGACUUUGGUUGAACCCUCAAAAGACAUAAAAUCUAUUGGUUGCAAAUGGGUUUACAAGAAAAAGAUUGGAGCAGAUGGUAAGGUAGAGACCUAUAAAGCCCGUCUAGUUGCCAAGGGAUACCGUCAAAAGGAGGGAAUAGAUUAUGAAGAAACAUUUUCUCCUGUGGCAAUGCUCAAAUCUAUUCGGAUUCUACUUGCUAUAACAGCUUACUAUCAUUAUGAAAUAUGGCAAAUGGAUGUGAAAACAACUUUUCUUAAUGGAGAACUCACAGAGGAAGUGUACAUGACACAACCUGAAGGUUUCACACUUCAGUCUGAUCAUAGUAAAGUUUGUAAGCUAAAACGCGCCAUUUAUGGACUAAAGCAAGCUUCUAGAAGUUGGAACAUUUGCUUUAAUAAGACAAUCGAAAAGUUCGAUUUUAUCUGGUGUGAAGAGGAUCCUUGCAUAUACAAAAAGUUUAGUGGGAGUACAGUCAUUUUCUUAGUACUCUAUGUUGAUGACGUAUUACUAAUAGGAAAUGAUGUACCAGCAUUGUAAAAUACCAAAACUUGGCUAUCUCAACAAUUCUCCAUGAAAGAUUUGGGAGAAGCAGCCUAUAUUCUAGGAAUAAAGAUCUAUCGAGAUAGAUCUAAAAGGUUGCUCGGACUCUCACAAUCUAUGUACAUUGAUACCAUAUUGAAAAGGUAUAACAUGGAAAACUCCAAAAAGGGCUAUUUACCAAUAGGCACUGGAAUUACUCUCAGUAGAAAGGAUUUUCCUAAAAUUUCUGAAGAGAGAGUACGCAUGAGUAGAAUACCAUAUGCUAGUGCAGUGGGAGCUAUCAUGUAUACCAUGACAUGUACACGUCCUGAUGUCGCAUAUGCGCUAGGAGUAGCCAGUCGAUAUCAGGCAAAUCCAGGUGAGGAACAUUGGAAGGUGGUUAAAUCCAUUCUAAAAUAUUUAAGAAGAACCAAAGACUAAUUCCUCAUUUAUGGAGAUUCUGAACUUAUACCAAAAGGGUUCACUGACGCAAGUUUUGCCUCAGACAAAGAUGAUAGCAAAUCUACUUCAGGUUAUGUUUUCACCUUAAACGGUGGUGCAGUGAGUUGGAAAAGUUCCAAACAAGCUACUGUAGCUGAUUCAACAACAGAAGCUGAGUACAUAGCAGCAAGUGAGGCUGCUAAACAAGCUGUGUGGAUGAAGAAGUUCAUAAACGAGCUUGAUGUGGUGCCUUCAAUUAAAGAACCACUUCCAUUACUGUGCGACAAUAAUGGAGCCAUUGCACAAGCAAAAGAGCCAAGAUCACAUCAAAAAUCUAAGCAUAUCUUGAGAAUGUAUCAUUUGAUAAGAGAGAUCGUUGAACGUGGAGACGUUGAAAUUCAAAAGGUUGCUGGGAAGGAUAAUGCAGAAAACCCAUUCACUAAGGCACUUGGAUCAAAAGAGUUUGAUAAGCACAUGUGGGAAUUGGGAUUGAAAUAUAUGACUGAUUGGCUCUAGUGCAAGUGGGAAAUUUUGUUGGAAAUACAUGUAUUCCCUAGAUCCAAUCUGUCAUUAGCUCUAGUGCAAGUGGGAGAUUGUUGGAGAUAAGUGUGUAUGUCCAACAAAAUACUAUUGUGAAUUAUUAUUAUUAUUAUUAUUAUUUCUUUUUAUAAGAAUAAACUUUUAUAAUUUAUGAUAGUGUCCUUAAUUAAAAUUAGAAACGAAUAAUUACGAUAGGGAUCGUAAUAAUGAGAUAUACGUUCAACUAUGGUAUGAGUUUGAGCUCUACGAUUAUAAUGAAUGAAAUAAACAAUGCCUUAGCCAAGGGGUUUGAAUGAAUUAAAAAAUGAGUUUCUUAAGUCAUUCAUAAUUCAUUAUAAUAAUGGUAACAAGUUAGAAUUUGACAAUUAAACCGUACUCUAAGGUAACGUUUGGUGGAGAGACAGAGACAGAAAGACUGAGACUGAGAGACAGAGACUAAGAGACAGGGAUUGAAAUAAAUUUCAGUAUUCUGUUUGGUGCAAAAUGGGAGACAGAAAUUGAAACAAGAAUAAAACUCUAAUUUAAUUUGCACAAAAGGUAAAAUUGGAAUUAUUUAAUUGAAAUGAAAGUAUUUUAGGUAUAAAAUAUUAUUAAAGUUUCAGUCUCCAUCUCUAAAAAUUUCAGUCCCCUGUGUGCCUACUUUUUGGAGGUACUGAAAUACUGAAAUUUUAGAGACAGAAACAGAAAUUUUAGUACCAGUCUCUGAACUAACAAACACGAUACUGAAUCUCAAUCUCUCAGUCUCUGUCUCAAUACCUCAAAACAAACGCUACCUAAAAGUUAGCCAAGAGCUGAAAAGAUGGAAGGAGUUGUAUUUUUUGUUCAUCUUGGGUUCUUAGUAAAAAUAUUAUUACUUCAUACUAUCGGGUCGUCAAGGAGCGUUGCUAGACACCAACCUUGAUUAGUAAAUUUAGUAUGACUAAUUUACUACCCGCUUAGUAUUGAACCUAUGGGGUCACACACUAACGAGUGUUCUAAUCCUUGGUAAAUAAUCAUUUAAUUAUUAUUUUGAUUAGAUCAAAUAAAUAAUUAUAUUAAUUCAAAUGGAAUAUUAUUAUAUUCUUUGCUAGCACCAUGAAUAUAAUAAUAUGAUAAUUGAGAAUAUUAAAUAAUUAAUUAUUUAUUCUAUGAUGAGUUUUAAAUAUGGAUAAGAUCCAACUGAUUCUGUUUCAAAUUAAAUUGUAAUCUGAUUCACAAAUCAGUCACCAAUCUCAUACUAUAUAUAUGUGUAUAUGAUAAAAGAAAGAACACACAAGUUUUUCUUUUACCUCCACAUACACAAAUAUUCCAAUUCUUAGUGAAGAAUUGCUGGUGCAAGGAGUUGCAAGAAAUUUCUCAGUUAAAUCCAUUGGUCAAGGAGUUGACAACAAGGAUCAGUCUCGGUGUGGAUACACAUAGUACCUUCGUACUAUCGAAGGAGAAAGUUUUCAUUCACUAGGGUACUCAGGUAUUGGCAUCUAAUCCAUCUUAUUUCAAUAAAGUUUUAAGCACAAAAUAGAUCAAUAGGAUUACUUUAUUACUUCCGUUGCGUGUUAUGAACACUUGUAAUUCUACAUAAAUAAUAAAUUAUGUUUGACAAUAAUAUUCAAUAAUUAAAUUUUUAUUAUUUUUUUUAAAAAAUACAUCAAAUUUCUAAAUUACCUUUCCUUUAUCAUCAUCUUCAACCUCAAAAUACUAUUUCUUUCUCUCUGGCAAAAUCUAAAAAAUAAGAACUCAUCUUUAUACCCAUUCCCAUUAACUAAGAACUAUUAUUCCUUAUACUAUUCUUAGUCGUCUAAAUCUAACCUUAAUUUUAAAUUGUCAAAAUAAAUACAACACAUAAAUUAAUUAAUAAAUUGUUUAUUCAAGUACUUUGAAUUGGCAAACAUGAAUGCUAAUCGUGAUUACAAGAGAAGCCUGGACCGAAAAAGAGAAAGUGAUGAAGUGUUGAUAACUAACUAUUAAUUAAUUAAUUACUUGGAACAAUGUUGGUGAUGAUGAACUCCUCCAAAUACAUCUUUCUAUCAUAUUAAGAGUGAUGGCAUCAAAAUGCUUGAUAACUAUCUCUUAAAAAUCUUCUUUAAUUUUGUGCACACAGGUGCUGGUGAAGUCUUAUAGCAAAAUCCUUACUAACACUGCUAAAUGAAACCUUGUGGCUUUUGUCAAUCUUAACGAGUCAAAAAUUUUGAUAUGUUCGAAUAUUGGUAAGUGUACUAAAUCAUUCUAAGUACGGUUAAAAGGGAGUCGAAUUAGACCAAGUUCAAGCUCGAUUCACAAAAAUUGAGUUUGGCUCACGGCUCAACUCAUUAACAAUCGAGUCUAUUUCGUAAGCUCAAACUCGACUCAUCGAAAGAUCCUGAGCUAGCUUGAGCUCACAAGUUGGCUUAACUAAUAGAAACAUAAUCUAUAAUUCUAUAUCAAUAAAUUAUAACUUUUAUAUUUUAAAAAAUAUUUAAAAAGAUCAAUUUUAUAUAUUUUCUAUCUUGAGUCCGUUCAUGAGCUAAUGAGCUAAGCUUAUCUAAAUUCAAACUUGGCUCAUUUAAUUUAUGAGCUCAAUUCCAGGCUCAAGCUCGGCCCGCCAGCUCACAAGUUCAGUUUAUCGAGCUAUUAACGAGUCGAGCUCGAGCUGGUUCAUGAUCUGACUUGACUCACUUCCAACCUUAGCUUUAAGUAAUACCACAGUGAGUAGAUAUCGUUCCUACGCGAAUUAAAAGAUUGAAUCAAGUAACUUUUAGUUGAACCCCUAAUUAGAUCGAUCAAACCUUUGCAAGAGAAUGUGAAUCUUGAAAUAGAAUCUUGAAGUAAUGAAGAAGAGUGAAGGAGAGUGUUUGAUUGUGAAUGAGAAAAUGUUUAUGAAUUUGGGAAAGCAAUCAGUGAAUGAGAUGUUAAAGGCUUCGGAGAUGUUUAACGUUUAGAAAAAAAUAGUGCUUAUGUUUUCUUACUUUGACUCAUGCAAAAAUACUUUCACGGUAAAUCAUAUAUAACUAAAUUCUAAUUCCUUGACAAUUGAAUUUCUCUUUAACUUAUUCAAUCACCAAUUUUUUGGUCAAUUAAUUAAGAAAAGAGGUUAAGCACGAUUUUGAUUUAAUGCUGUACAACUUUCAAAAUACUAUUCCUAGCCAAGUUGAAAAGUAUGAGAAAGAGUUUUAAGCUAAUCCCGAUAUUAAAUUUUCCAAAAUAAUAACAGAAUCCAAAACAGAAUUACAAUAUUUUUCAAUACUUCUAACCAUUAAAGAUGAAGAAUGAGACUCAAUCUUGAAAAAUAUUAAUGCAUUAAUCAAAAGAAAACGCUUACAUUACCAAUCCAUAAAAUCAAACAGAGCUCCUAACCCUUAGCAAGAGAGUUUUAGUUACUCAUGAAAAAGAAAACAACCUAAAACUAAUGAGAUGCUAGAUGAAUCCAAUUAUGAUUCGAUGAUGGACGAUAGAUGAUCCUUGUGAACCAUGCGUUCACUUAUUUAUAUUCUACUUCUAACCUAGAAUUCAAAUUUAAAAACUAAAUCUAAUCUUAUCUUUUAAAGGAUAAGAUAGAUAAAAACAACAAUUCAAAUCUAAUCUAAAACUAAAUCUUAACAACCAAAUCUUAUCUUUCUAGAAGAAGUUAAUGGUAACUAAUCAUUCAAAUCUUGAAUCUUUUGAGUUGAGUUGGAGCUUCUUGGGAAAAGACAUUGGACGUGGCGCUGGGCUUGGAUGAUUGGCGCCUAACUUGAAUGCAAUUUUGGGCCACUGGGAGUGAAAAAUCACUUGAAGAUGGGUUCUAAAAGUUGGCGCUGAGCUCCCAUGUUGUGGCUCUCAUUAGGUGUCGAGCUUGAGUCAUGGAAGUAGGGUGUUAGCCCUUGAGCACCAUCAAAGGGGCUAGGCUUAGAGGCUAGGUUGCUGAGCUUGGUGUCCUGGAGCUGGGCGCCAGUUCUUGGCGUUGGACUUAGAUGCUCCAAGUUGGGCUUGGGCACCAUACUUGGGCGAUGGGCUUGAUUGGAUGGUGUUGAGCUUGAGAUCAUUGAAGCCUGGCGCCAGCUUCUCUUCCUCUCCUAGGAGUGUACACUUGUAUUUUUUUGUUUGUUUAUUUUUCUCCUGAUUACUUUAAACUAAUCCUAAAAACACAGUCAUUCUAAAACAACUCCAAACAUAUGAUUAGUCAUAGAAACUUCAAUAAAAACGUAAGAACUUUGAUUUAAACCUAAGAAAUUUAUUCAAAAAUACAUAUAAAAAUCACUAAAGAUACCUAGGCAUUACAAUACCGAACUUAAAACUUUGUUUGUCUUCAAGCAAAAAGAAGAGUAAACAGAGUUUAUCUUAGUGACAAGAAUUGAUGAGUUUGUAAAUUUAAGUCCAAUAAAAGUGGGUUUUAUAAUAAUCCACAUGAUUACAUAUGUACUUCUCUUGAUAAAUCUUGCAAGCUCAAGGAUUAAGAAUAUUUAAAACUCAAUUCCGAAUUAUAUUAUGAGAAUCCUUUUAGAAUUGUAUGACCUUGGAAGCAGUUACUUAAUAAUUUAAUCAGAAAAAGAUAUUCGAAGUCUUUGACUCUAAGUGCUUUAUCUCAGAACAACUCUUAAUAUAGGUUUUCAAUCGAUAAUCUCGAGCCAGUUGGCUCAAGUUAUCGGGUGAUGACACAUCCCUCGAAUUUACUCACCCAAGUCUCUCCUUAAUACACAAGCAUCACAGGCACAUAACUGGGUUCUAGUCAUUGGUGCUUAGAGCUUUAUUGCUUUUGGUUUUUCAAUCUUUCCACACUUUUUUUUAAAUCACUGCUUCAAAAGGGCUGGACGUUGAAUACUUAUAAUAUUUCUCUAGAAUUUUAUUUUUGGAAUUUUUUUCUCUUUUUUUCAUAAAAUUCCCUUGGGUUCAUUAAAUGUAACCACACUUCUAAGAACCACCACUUUUAUUUUGAACUUUCUUUUUAUUUUUCAAUUCUUUUCAUUCAGAACGCUCUCUUUACAUAAGCAAAGUACUGGAGGAGCAAGUACACAACUUUUAAGCAAAAUAAAGUAAAUAAAGAAACAAAAAAACAUGAUGAAAAAAGAAAGAAAGAAAGAAAAGAACAAAAACGAAAAAAAAAAAAAGAAAAAGAAAAAGAAAGAAAGCAACUAACCACCAGAAAAGAAAAAUAAGAUUACCAAAUUCACUCUUCAUCAUCAUUAUCACCGUCGACGUCCACAUGUUAUAUUGGUCUUCAUGGAGUUUGGAUCGAAACCUGUUUGCGUCAUAUGACGGAGUGGCCGGUUCCCUUUUUUUCUCUUUUUAAACAAAGACAUCUUGAGUUUUUGAUAUAUAACACACACCGUAUGCAAAGUACAAUCACAACACCAAACUUAAAGUUUGGACGUAUGAGUAAGAAAAGGAAAUAUGAAGUUAGAUGAAAUAAGAGGAAGUGGAACGUGUAUAUAAUAUGUGAUACAAGUGAAGUGUGCAUGUGCUAUUAUAGUGAAGUGAGGUGGGAAUUAUGUGGUUGUGAAUGCAUGAUGGUGUAUGUGGUGUGCAUGUGUGCAGUGGAAAUGAGUGAAAAAUAAAAGCUAAAUGCCAAAGUUAAAAAUCAUGAAAGUUGAAAUCAUGAUGCAUAGAGGUAACAUAUAAAUUUGCAUGCUUUCAUGCAUGUGAAGUAUGACAAGUGCAGAACUUGGAAAGAGUAAUAUGCAUGCUAGGUGUGUGGUUGAAUUGAUGUGUCGAGCAUGCCUAAUAUUGAAUUUUUAAAAGAUAAGUAAUUCAUCGGAGUAGUUAAAAAAAGCAAAAGGUAAAAAUGCAUGCAAUUAUUUUGAAUAACUUUUUACUAAGUUAAAAAUCAAGAACAGAAACAAAAA
rnacentral:lncRNA from 1 species